CCCGCUGAACUUAAGCAUAUCAAUAAGCGGAGGAAAAGAAACCAACAGGGAUUGCCUUAGUAACGGCGAGUGAAGCGGCAACAGCUCAAAUUUGAAAUCUAGCUCUUUCAGGGUCCGAGUUGUAAUUUGUAGAAGAUGCUUCGGGUGUGGUACCGGUCUAAGUUCCUUGGAACAGGACGUCAUAGAGGGUGAGAAUCCCGUAUGUGACUGGUCACCUUCGCUCAUGUGAAGCUCUUUCGACGAGUCGAGUUGUUUGGGAAUGCAGCUCAAAAUGGGUGGUAAAUUUCAUCUAAAGCUAAAUAUUGGCCAGAGACCGAUAGCGCACAAGUAGAGUGAUCGAAAGAUGAAAAGCACUUUGGAAAGAGAGUUAAACAGUACGUGAAAUUGUUGAAAGGGAAGCGCUUGCAACCAGACUUGCACGUAGUUAAUCAUCCGGGGUUCUCCCCGGUGCACUUGGCUACGUUCAGGCCAGCAUCGGUUUCGGUGGUUGGAUAAAGGCCUAGGGAAUGUGGCUCUCUUUGGGGAGUGUUAUAGCCCUAGGUGCAAUGCAGCCCACUGGGACCGAGGACCGCGCUUUGGCUAGGAUGCUGGCGUAAUGGUUGUAAGCGACCCGUCUUGAAACACGG
rnacentral:rRNA from 1 species